rnacentral:rRNA from 1 species
ACACGUUCUAGAGCCUAAUUCAUCUCAAUUAAUAACUAAAAUUACAUUCAAAUCCAAAUUCUAAAUGAUAAUGCUAAAAUUUAUCCUUAAAUAAAUUUAUUGUAAUCCAUCUCUACUUCUAUAAGCUGCACCUUGAUCUGAUAUUUUAUAUAGUUUUAUAUUCUAAUUAUAUAUUUCCAAAAAUAAUUAACAACGACGAUAUACAAGCAAUAAUAAAAGUUUUAUUAAUCGUGGACUAUCGAUUACAGGACAGAUUCCCCUGAUUGGAAUAAAAAACCGCCAAAUUUUUUGAUUUUAAAGAACAUAACUAAUAUUUAUCAGGUUUAACCAUCAACAUCUAGAAUAAUGGGGUAUCUAAUCCCAGUUUAAAAUCUAGAUUUCUUAACCUCAUAAUCAAAAACUUAAUUAAAAAAAAAUAGGAUUUCACCCAAUAUUAAAUUAAAUAAAAAUUAAUUCUUAUUAACUAAAAAUUAAAAACCAAAUAAAAAUAGUAGCAUUAUUUGUUUAACCGCA